rnacentral:rRNA from 1 species
UUUANACCUUCCGANUUNNACUCCAAACCCUGUGAACAUACCUAUUGUUGCUUCGGCGGGAUUGCCCCGGGCGCCUCGCGUGCCCCGGAUCAGGCGCCCGCCUAGGAACUCUAACUCUUGUUUUAUUUUGAAUCUUCUGAGUAGUUUUUACAAAUAAAUAAAAACUUUCAACAACGGAUCUCUUGGUUCUGGCAUCGAUGAAGAACGCAGCGAAAUGCGAUAAGUAAUGUGAAUUGCAGAAUUCAGUGAAUCAUCGAAUCUUUGAACGCACAUUGCGCCCGCCAGUAUUCUGGCGGGCAUGCCUGUCUGAGCGUCAUUUCAACCCUCAUGCCCCUAGGGCGUGGUGUUGGGGAUCGGCAAAGCCCGUAAGGGACGGCCGGCCCCUAAAUCUAGUGGCGGACCCGUCGUGGCCUCCUCUGCGAAGUAGUGAUAUUCCGCAUCGGAGAGCGAUGAGCCCCUGCCGUUAAACCCCCAACUUUNCAAGGUUGACCUCAGAUCANGUAGGAAUACCCGCUGAACUUAAGCAUAUCAAUAAGCGGAGGAA